UGGGGAAUUUUGGACAAUGGGCGCAAGCCUGAUCCAGCCAUUCCGCGUGCAGGACGAAGGCCUUCGGGUUGUAAACUGCUUUUGUACGGAACGAAAAGGCUCUGGCUAAUACCUGGGGCUCAUGACGGUACCGUAAGAAUAAGCACCGGCUAACUACGUGCCAGCAGCCGCGGUAAUACGUAGGGUGCAAGCGUUAAUCGGAAUUACUGGGCGUAAAGCGUGCGCAGGCGGUUUUGUAAGACAGAUGUGAAAUCCCCGGGCUUAACCUGGGAACUGCGUUUGUGACUGCAAGGCUGGAGUACGGCAGAGGGGGGUGGAAUUCCACGUGUAGCAGUGAAAUGCGUAGAGAUGUGGAGGAACACCGAUGGCGAAGGCAGCCCCCUGGGCCUGUACUGACGCUCAUGCACGAAAGCGUGGGGAGCAAACA
rnacentral:rRNA from 1 species